CAUUUUGUGGUGCAAUGGGUCGGUGCGUCCGGCUGAUAACCAGAAGAUCGGUGGUUCAAGCCCACCAAGGGAUGG